rnacentral:rRNA from 1 species
UACGUAGGGCGCAAGCGUUGAUCGGAAUUACUGGGCGUAAAGCGUACGCAGGCGGCUUUGCAAGACAGGUGUGAAAUCCCCGGGCCUAACCUGGGAACUGCAUUUGUGACUGCAUGGCUAGAGUCUGUCAGAGGGGGGUGGAAUUCCACGUGUAGCAGUGAAAUGCGUAGAGAUGUGGAAGAACACCGAUGGCGAAGGCAGCUCCCUGGGAUGAGACUGACGCUCAUGUACGAAAGCGUGGGGAGCAAACAGG